rnacentral:rRNA from 1 species
GACGAACGCUGGCGGCGUGCCUAAUACAUGCAAGUCGAACGCUCUCGUUCCUUCGGGAACAAUGAGAGAGUGGCGAACGGGUGAGUAUCACGUGAGAAACCUGCCCUGGAGAUCGGGACAACCCAAGGAAACUCGGGCUAAUACCGAAUACCUUCACCGGACCGCAUGGUCUGGUGAAGAAAUGCUCCGGCGCUCUGGGAGGGUCUCGCGGCCUAUCAGCUAGUUGGUGAGGUAACGGCUCACCAAGGCAUCGACGGGUAGCUGGUCUGAGAGGACGAUCAGCCACACUGGGACUGAGACACGGCCCAG